UGUACCAUUUUACAUUCCCACCAGCAGUGCGUAAGUGUUUCAGUCUCUCUAUGACCUCUCCAACAUUUAUUAUUUUGUGUUUUGGGGAUUAAUGCCAGCCUUUUUGGAGUGAGAUGGAAUCUCAUUGUAGUUUUGAUUUGCAUUUCUCUAACGGCUAAUGAUCAUGAGUAUUUCCUCAUGUAUCUGUUAGCUACCUGAAUGUUUUCUAUAGUGAAGUGCCUGUUCAUAUCUUUUGCCUAUUUUUUAAUCAGGUUAUUUGUCUUUUUGCAGUUGAGUUUUUGCAGUAUCAUGUAGAUUUUGGACAUGUGAUGCUGACUGGAAAUGUCAUAGCUAAAAACUUUUUCCCAGUCUGUAGGUAAUCUUUUUACUCUUUUGGUGAAGUCUUUGGAUGAGUAUAGGUGUUUGAAUUUUAGGAGCUCCCAGUUACCUAGUUUCUCCUCCAGUGUUUGCGCAUUGUUAGUAAUGUUUUGUAUAUGGUUUAUGCCAUGUAUUAGGGCUCCUGAAAACGCUGGUGGUGUAGUGGUUAAGUGCUACAGCUGCUAACCAAGAGGCUGGCAGUUCGAAUCCACCAGGCGUCCCUUGGAAACUCUAUAUGGCAGUUCUGCUCAGACCCAUAGGAUCGCUAUGAGUCAGAAUCGACUCGACUCAGUGGGUUUUUUUGGUGUUAGGGCGCCUAGUGUUGUCCCUAUUUUUUCUUCCAUGGCCUUUAUCGUUUUAGAUUUUAUAUUUAGGUCUUUGAUCCAUUUUGAGUCAGUUUUUGUGUGUGGUGUGAGGUAUGGGUCUUGUUUCAUUUUUUUUACAGGUGGAUAUCCAGUUAUAGCAGCACCAUUUGUUAAAUAGACUGUCUUUUUCCCGUUUAGCUGAUUUUGGGCUUUUGGCAAAUAUCUGCUGCUCAUAUGUGGAUGGAUUUAUGUCUGGAUUCUCAAUUCUGUUCCACUGGUCUAUGUAUCUGCUGUUGUACCAGUACCAGGCUGUUUUGACUACUGUGACUGUAUAAUAGGUUCUAAAAUCAGGUAGUGUGAGGCCUCCCACUUUGUUCUUCUUUUUCAGUAAUGCUUUACUUAUCCAAGACCUCUUUCUCUCCCAUAUGAAGUUGGUGAUUUGUUUCUCCAUCUCAUUAAAAAAUGUCGUUGGAAUUUGGAUUGGAAUUGCAUUGUAUCUACAGAUGGCUUUUGUAGAAUAGACAUUUUUACAAUGUUAAGUCUUCCUAUUCAUGAGCAAGGUAUGUUUUUCCACUUAUGUUGGUCUCUUUUGGUUUCUUGCAGUAGUGUCUUGUAGUUUUUUUUGUAUAGGUCUUUUAUGUCUGUGGUAAGAUUUAUUCCUAAGAAUUUUAUCUUUUGGGGGCUAUUGUAAAUACUAUUGAUUUGGUGAUUUCCUCUUCGACGUUCUCUUUGUUGGUGUAGAGGAAUCCAACUGAUUUUUGUGUGUUUAUCUUGUGUGCUGAUACUCUGCUGAACCCUUCUAUUAGUUUCAGUAGUUUUCUUGAGGAUUCCUUAGGGUUUUCUGCGUAUAAGAUCAUAUCAUCUGCAGGUAGAGAUACCUUUACUUCUUUCUUACCAAUCUGGAUGCCCUUUAAUUUUUUAUCUAGCCUAAUUUUGCUGGCUAGGAUCUCCAGCACAAUGUUGGAUAAGAGUGGUGAUAAAGGUUAUCCUUGUCUGGUUCCCGAUCUCAAGGGGAAUGCUUCAGACUCUCUCCAUUUAGGAUGAUGUUGGCUGUUGGUUUUAUAUAAAUGCCCUUUAUUAUGUUGAGGAAUUUCCUUUCUAUCCCUAUUUUGCUGAGAGUUUUUAUCAUGAAUGGACGUUGAACUUUGUCAAAUUCCUUCUCUGCAUCAAGCGAUAAGAUCAUGUGGUUCUUGUCUUUUAUUUAUAUGAUGCAUUACAUUAAUUGUUUUUCUAAUACUGAAUCAUCCCUGCAUACCUGGUAUGAAUCCCACUUGGUCAUGGUGAAUUAUUUUUUUUAUAAAUUGUUGAAUUCUUUCGGCUAGAAUUUUGUUGAGAGUUUUUGCAUCUGAGUUCAUUAGGGAUACAAGUCUGUAAUUUUCUUUUUUUUUGUGGUUUCUUUACCUCGUUUUGGUGUUAGGGAUAUGCUGGCUUCAUAGAAUGAGUUUGGGAGUAUUCUAUCCUUUUCUAUGCUUUGAAAUACCUUUAGUAGUAGUGGUGUUAACUCUUCUCUGCAAGUUUGGUAGAACCCUCCAGUGAAGGUGUCUGGGCCAGGGCUUUUUUUUUGUUUUGUUGGGAGUUUUUAAAUUACUUUUUCAAUCUCGUCUUUGGAUACGGGUUUAUUUAGUUGUUCUACCUCUGUUUGUGUUAGGUUAGGUAGGUAGUGUGUUUCUAGAAAUUCAUUCAUUUCUUCUAGGUUUUCAACUUUGUUAGAAUACAAUUUUCUAGAGUAAUCUGAUAGGAUUCUUUUCAUUUCAGUUGGGUCCGUUGUGAUAUCGCCCAUCUCAUUUCUUAUUCAGGUUAUUUGCUUCCUCUUCUGUUUUUCUUUUUUGAGGUUGGCCCAUGAUUUAUCAAUUUUGUUAUUUUUUUCAAAAAAUCAGCUUUUGUUAUCGUUAACACUUUCAAUUGUGUUUCUGUCCUCUAUUUUAUUUAAUUCUGCUCUAAUAUUUAUUACUUGCUUUCUUCUGGUUCCUGAGGGUUUCUUUUGUUGCUCUCAUUCUGUUUGUUCAAGUUAUAGGAAUAAUUCUUUGAUUUUGGCCCUUCUUUUUGUACGUAUGCAUUUAUUGAUAUAUAAUAGACCUCUGAGUACUGCUUUAGCUGUGUCUCAAAGGUUCUGAUAGGAAGUGUUUUCAUUCUCACUGGAUUCUAUGAAUUUCUUUAUUCCAUCCUUAAUGUCUCCUAUAACCCGGUUGUUUUCGAGCAGGGUAUGUUCAGUUUUCAAGUGUUUGAUUUCUUUUCCCUGCUUUUUCUGUUAUUGAUUUCUACUUUUAUGGCCUUAUGUCAGAGAAGAUGCUUUGUAAUAUUUCUAUAUUUUGGAUUCUGCUAAGGCUUGCUUUGUGACAUAAUACGUGGUCUAUUCUAGAGAAUGUUCCAUGUGUGUUGGAAAAGAAAGUAUACUUGGUUGCUGUUGGGUGGAGUGUUGCGUAUAUGUCUAUGAGGUCAAGUUGGUUGAUUGUGGCAUUUAGAUCUUCCAAGUCUUUACUGAGCUUCUUUCUGGAUGUUCUGUCCUUCACCGAAAGUGGCGUGUUAAAGUCUCCUACUGUAAUUGUGGAGCUGUCUAUCUCACUUUUCAAUACUGGUAGAGCUUCUUUUAUGUAUCUUAUGGCCCUGUAAUUGGGUCCCUAAACAUUUUAAUAUACUUAUAUCCUCCUGGUAUAUUGUCUCUUUAAUCAUUAUAUAGUGUCCUUCCUGGUCUUUUGUGGUGGAUUUAACUUUAAAGUCUAUUUUGUCAGAAAUUAAUAUUGCCACUCCUGCUCUUCUUUUAUUGUUGUUUGCUUGCUAUAUUUUUUUCCAUCCUUUGAGUUUUAGUUUGUGUCUCUCAGUCUAAGGUGUGUCUUUUGUAGGCAGCAUAUAGAUGGACCGUGUUUUUUUAAUCCAUUCUGCCACUCUCUGCCUUUUUAUCAGUGCAUCUAGUCCAUUUACAUUCAGGGUAAUUAUGGAUAGGUAUGAGUUUAGUGCUGUCAUUCUGAUGUCUUUUUUUGUGUGUUGUUGACAGUUUCUUUUUCCCACUUACUAUUUUGUGCUGAUUAGUUUAUCUUUAUGUAUUGUCUUUUCCUCUUACUCGUUGUUGUCAAUUUCGUUUCUGCUGAGCCUUUAUUUUUUUCUUGUAUUUUAUUUUGAUAAGUAGGAUCGUUAGUCUCUUUGUGGUACCUUAAUAUCUACCCUGAUUUUUCUAAGUUUAAACCUAACUUCUAUUUCUUUAUGUUGCCAUGUCUUCCUCUCCAUAUGAAAGAUCUACGGCUACAUUUCUUAGUCUCUAUUGUUUUAAUGUCUUCUUCUUUUACAUAAUGACAUCACUGUUUCCCUGUUUUGAGCAUUUUUUAAUCUUGAUUUAUUUUUUGGUUUACCUAUCUGGGUUGAUAUCUGAUUCUUCUGUCCUGUGUUAUAGUCUUGGGUUGAUAUCUGACAUUGAUUUUCUAACCAGAGAACUCCCUUUAGUAUUUCUUGUAGUUAUGGUUUGGUUUUUAUGAAUUCCCUAAUCCUCUGUUUGUCUGGAGAUGUCCUAAUUUCACCUUCAUAUUUAAGAGGGAGUUUUCCUGGAUAUAUGAUUCUUGACUUGCAAUUUUUUUCCUUUAAUGCUUUAUAUAAGUCACCCCAUUGCCUUCUUGUCCGCAUGGUUUCUGCUGAGUAGUCCGAGCUUAUUCUUAUUGACUCUCCUUUGUAGGUGACUUUCGUUUAUCCCUAGCCGCUCUUAAAAUUCUCUCUUUAUCUUUGGUUUUGGCAAGUUUGAUUAUAAUAUGUCUUGGUGACUUUCUUUUGAGAUUUACCUUAUGUAGUAUCUUAGAUAGAUAGCUUCUGAUCUUUCACGAUAUCCGGAAAGUUUUCUGCCAGGAAAUCUUCAACAAUUCUUUCUGUAUUUUCUGUUAUCCCUCCCUAUGCUGGUACUAUAAUCACUCAUAGGUUAUUUCUUUUGAUACAGUCCCACAUGAUUAUUAGGAUUUCUUCAUUUAAAAAAAAUUCUUUUAUCUGAUUUUUCUUCAAAUACAUUGGUGCCAAGUGUUUUAUGUUUAAUCUCACUAAUUCUGCCUUCCACUUGCUCAGUUCUACUCCUCUGACUUUCUAUCAAGUUGUCUAAUUAUGUAAUUUUAUGGUUAAUCUUCUGAAUUUCUGAUUUCUGUCUCUGUAUGGAUUCUCGCAGCUUAUUAAAUUUUUCGUUGUUUUCUUGAGUAACGUUUUUAAUUUCUUCAACUGCUUGAUCUAUGUGUUCCUUGGCUUGUUCUGUGUUUUGCCUGAUCUCCUUCCUGAUCUCAUUCCUGAUGUCUUGAAUUGUUCUGUAUAUUAAUCUUUUAUAUUCUGCAUCUGGUAAUUCCAGGAAGGCACCUUCAUCCAGAAGAUCCCUUGGUUCCUUGUUUUGAAAGCUUGUUGAAAUGAUGAUGGUAUGCUUCUUUAUGUGAUUUGAUAUUGACUGUUGCCUUGGAGCCAUCUAUAAUUUAUUGUAUUAGUUUAUUUUAUGUUUGCUUACUGUAUCCUAGCUUCUUGCUUUGUUUUGUUUUGAUAUGCCCAAAUAGGCUGCUUGAGUGAAGUGGCUUGAUUAUUUUCACCUUUGAAGCUCUAACAUCCUGUCACCAGAUGGCUAGAGCUGUUAGCAGAUAUAUGAGCCUAGGAGCCCAUUCACUUUUCUGGUAUGGAUUCAGCUCAGGUGUCCAGGGAGAUGGUCAUCAAGAGUGUGGUACAGGCUCUGUCCUACAGUCUUAGAAGGGCAGGGGUGAUUGGUGUAGUUAUAGGUAUCUGGUUGUAGCAGGGGUCACACUCUGAACAAGGCGGGGGCUGACAACCAUCACCUGACUGUCUGGGACCCUCUGUUUUACUGCCUCAUGAAAUGGUUGAAUAUUGACCAGUUCUUUUUGGUACAGUGACUCUGUUUUCCUUCUGUUCUUUUAUGCUUCCUGUGUCAUUUAAUAUUUUCCCUGUAGAAUCCUUCAAUAUUUCAACUCGAGGCUUGAAUUUUUUCUUCAGUUCUUUCAGCUUGAGAAAUGCCAAGCAUGUUCUUCACUUUUGGUUUUCUAACUCCAGGUCUUUGCACAUUUCAUUAUAAUUCUUUAGUUUGUCUUCUCAAGCCGCUCUUUGUGUCUUGUGUUCAGCUCUUUUACUUCAUCAUUUCUUUCUUUCUCUUUAGCUACCCUACGUUCAAGAGCAAGUUUCAGAGUCUUUUCUGACUUCCGUUUUGGUAUUUUCUGUCUUUUUAAUGACCUUUUGCUUUCUUCAUGUAUGAUGUCCUUGAUGUCAUUCCACAACUCAUCUGGUCUUCAGUCAUUAUUGUUCAAUCCCUCAAAUCUAUUCUUGAGAUGGUCUCUAAAUUCAGGUGGGAUAUACUCAAGGUUAUGUUUUGAUUCUUGCAGACUUGUUUUAAUUUUCUUCAGCUUCAACUUGAACUUGCAUAUGAGCAAUUGAUGGUCUGUUCCGCAGUCGGCCCUUGGCCUUGUUCUGGCUAAUGAUAUUGAGCUUCUACAUGGUCACUUUUCAGAGAUGUAGUGGAUUUGAUUCCUCUGUAUUCCAUCUGGUAAGGUCCACAUGUAUAGUUACUAUUUAUGUUGUUGAAAAAAAGUAUUUGCAAUGAAUAAGUUAGUCUUGCAAAAUUCUAUCACACGAUCUCUCACCAAGGCCAUAUUUUCCAACUACCGAUCUGUCUUCUUUGUUUCCAACUUUCGCAUUCUAAUUACCACAAAUUAUCAAUGCAUAUUGAUUACAUGGAAGCCUUGGUGGCGUAGUGGUUAAGUGCUACAGCUGCUAAUCAAAAGGUCGGCAGUUCGAAUCCACCAGGCGCUCCUUGGAAACUUUAUGGGACAGUUCUACUCUGUCCUACAGGGUUGCUAUGAGUCGGAUUUGACUCAACAGCAAUGGGUUUGGUUGUUUUCGGGCUUAUUGAUUGCAUGUUUGAUUAAUUUCAGACAGCAGAAGCUGGUUAAAGUCUUCAAUUUCUUCAUCUUUGGCAUUAGUUGUUUGUGGGUAUAUUUGAUAAUAGUUGCAUUAACUGGUCUUCCUUGUAAGUGUGUGGAUAUUAUCCUAUCACUGACAAUGUUGCACUUCAGGAUAGAUCUUGAAAUGUUCUUUUUGAUGAUGAACGCGAUGCCAUUCCUCUUCAGUUUGUCAUUCGUGGCAUAGUAAACCAUAUGACUGUCUGAUUCAAAAUGGCCCAUACCAGCCCACUUCAGCUUACUAAUGCCUAGGAUAUUGAUCUUUAUGUGGUCCACUUCAUUUUUGACAACUUCCAAUUUUCCUAGGUUGAUACUUCUCACAUACCACGUUCUGAUUAUUAAUGGAUGUUCGCAGCUUUUUCUUCUCAUUUCGAGUCAAGUCACGUCAGCCAAUGAAGGUCUUGAAAGCUUGAUUCUAUCCAUGUCAUUAAGGUUGACUCUACUUUGAGGAGGCAGCUCUUCCCCAGUGGUAUUUUGAGUGCCUUCUGACCUGAGGGGCUUAUCUUUUGGCACUAUAUCAAACAAUGUUCUGCUGCUAUUCAUAAAGUUUUCACUGUCCAACUUUUUCAGAAGUAGACUGCCAGGUUCUUCUUCCUAGUCUGUCUUUCUGGAAGCUCAGCUGAAACCUGGCCACCAAGGGUCACCCUGCUAGUAUUUGAAAUACCAGUGGCAAAGCUCCUAGUGUCACAGCAACAUGCAAGCAAAGCUUUCAGUAUCACAGCAACAUGCAAGCCACCACAGUACUACAAACUGACAGCCAUGUUGAGCCCUGGUGGCAUAGCAGUUAAGAACUUGGCUUCUAACCAAAAAGUCAGCAGUUGGAAUUCACCAGCCACUCUCUGGAAACCCUAUGGGGCAGUUCUACUCUGUGCUAUAGGGUCACUCUGAGUCGGAAUGUUUGUAAAGUUCUUCUGUGUUGUGGCAUGUAUAAGAACUCCAUUUCUUUUUAUGGCUGAGCAGUAUUCCGUUGUAUGAAUGGACCACAUUUUGUUUAUCCAUUCAUCUGUUGGACAUUUUGGCUGUUUCCACCUUUGGGCUACUGUGAAUAGGACUACGGUGAACAUUGUAGAACCUGUCUGCUUCUGUCACUGCUUUCAACUUUCUUGGGUAUAUAGUGAGGAGUGGAAUUGCUGAGUCUUGUGGUAGCUCUAUGUUCAACUUUUUGAGAAACUGCCAAACUGUUUUCCACAGUGGCUGCACCAUUUUACAUUCCCACUGGCAAUGGAUGAGAGUUCCAAUUUCUCUACAGCCUGGCAACAUUUGUUAUUUUCCGUUUUUUUUAUUUAGGCCGGAGUACAUUUAGUUGACGCUGACACCACUCUCAUUGGGUCAAGGUUUCUUCUGCUUUGAUUGUCCCUUAGGAUCAUAGUGUCUCUUACCUCCCCCCAUUCCAUCCUUUCUGAUGCCCCUGAUAGCACAGGUGUAAAUGUCUGAGAAGAUCCCCGGGGUCCCAGAGCUUGGUGAUGAAGGCCCCUGCUCUGCUACCUUGUAAGACUGUGGUGAAGGCUGGUGGCAUCCUGAGAUCAUGGACAUAAAAAGCUGCACGCUUUUGUGGUGAUAUUAGUCUUGUUUCAUCAUUAUUACUGUCAUUAUUACUACCACCUGCUGGCUCACUACAUUUGGCUAGGAAAAUCACCAAAAACAAAAAUGAAAACAAAAAAACCUAAACCAAACCGUUUACCAUUGAAUUAAUUCCAACUCAUAGCGACCCCAUGUGUUUCAGAGUAGAAGUGCAUUCCAUAGGGUUUUCAAUGGCUGAUUUUUCAGAAGCAGAUUGUCAGGCCUUUCUUCCAAGGUCCCUCUGGGUAGACUUGAACUGCCAGCCAUCUGAAUAGUAGUCUAGCUCUUAAAUGUUUGUGCAAUCUUGGGAUUCCAGGAAAAUCAUUAGCCCUUGUUAAGUCCUGCUGCCACCUCACGUUGGAGAACAUCGUAGAGUUACUCAUGAAAGAAGUAGCAGGUUAUGAGUCCUCUUGGUUUUCCACAUGCUUUUUCUGCCACAAGAGCUUUAAUACAUCUGCUCGAUUCCCGAUCUGCAACCCACCUAGGGCUCUUGAUUUUCUGUCUGAGCAAUAUUUCUUAAAUGUUAUUUUUUUUAUUGUGCUUUCAAUGAAGGUUUACAGAGCAAAUUCCUUUCUCAUUAAACAAUUAGUACACAUACUGUUUUGUGAUAUUGGUUGCCAAGCCCAUGAAGUGUCAAUCCUCUCCCCUUCUCAACUUUGGGUUCCCCAUUACCAGCUUUCAUGUCCUCUCCUGCCUUCUUGUCCUUGUCCCUGGGCUGGUGUGCUCAUUUAAUGUCAUAUAGUUUUAUAAACCUUGAAAACCAAACCCAUUGCCGUCGAGUCAAUUCCGACUCCUAGUGGCCCUAUAGGACAGAGUAGAACUGCCCCACGAAGUUUCCAAGGAGCACCUGUUGGAUUAGAAAUGCUAAUCUUUUAGUUAGCAGCCGUAGCUUUUAACCACUACGCCACCAGGGUUUCUGUUUUGUUUUAUGGGCCUGUCUAAUCUUUUGCUGAAUGGUGAACCUCAGAAGUGACUUCAUUACUGAGUUAGAGUGUGUGGGGGCCAUACUCUCGAGGUUUCUCCAGCCUCUGUCAGACCAGUAAAUCUGGUCUUUUUUUGUGAGUCAGAAUUUUGUUCUACAUUUUUCUCCAGCUCUGUCUGGGACCCUCUGUUGUGAUCCCUGACAGCAGUCAGUGGUGGUAGCUGGGUAUCAUCUCAUUGUACUGUCUCAGAAAUUCUAAAGGGACAACCCCCCCCCCCCAAAAAAACCAAAUCCAGUGCCGUCGAGUCGAUUCUGACUCAUAGCGACCCUAUAGGACAGAGUAGAACUGCCCCACAGAAUUUUCAAGGAGCACCUGGUGGAUUCAAAUUGCCGAUCCUUUGGUUAGCAGCCAUAGCACUUAACCACUACGCCACCAGGGUUUCCAGGGACAAUCCAGAGCCUAUCGAAUAGAAUUUUCUGGGAUGUCCCUUGAAGAGUUGCUUAGUCCAAGUUUUGAGUCAGACUCUAACUUUCCUGCCAAAUUUGGUAGAAAUCAGUCAUUUUCAUGGGACUUCAUUUUAUUUGCAUAGAUAAUGGUUGCUGGGAGAUGAUUUUCCAUGGGGCUCUGCAUGUGUGCAUGUCUUGUGAGCAGAGGCACUGACUGCCUUUGUUCUGGACUCUCUUUUCAAGGAUAUUUGUAUAGCGAACUGCCUACGAGGUAGAGGUAGUGUCUUCCAAAGGUGGUGCAUGCUUACAGUGCAGUAUAAAAGAAUUGGGUUUCCUAAGCUCAAGUGUCCAUCCCAUAUCUGCCAGUGGUGGCCCAUGUGUUGCUAUAAUUCUGGAAGCUAUGACACCAGUAUUUCAAAGAAUGCAGGGUGACCCAUGGUGGACAGGCUUCAGUAGAAACCUGGUCUGAACAGAAACUUGGUCUGUCUAGACUAAGACAGACUAGGAAGAAAGGCCUGGUGACCUCCUUUAGAAAAUCAGCCAGUGAAAACCCUGUGGAUCAAAAUAGAACACUGUCUGACUGGCUUGCUUUGAACACAUCAUCAGGAGGGACCAAUCGCUGGAGGAUGACAUUGUAUUUGGUGAAGUAGAGGGCCAGCAAAGGUGAGGGAGACCUUCAGUGAGAUGAAUGGGAACAAUAGCCACAACCACAGACUCAAACGUACUGGUGCUCAUAAGGAUAAUGCAGGACCGGGCAGCAUUUCAUUCCUAAGGUCAUCAUGAGUUGGAGUUGACUUGAUGGCAGUUAUCUAUCUAGACCCUGGUGGCUUAGUGGUUAAGUGCUACGGCUGCUAACCAAGUGGUUGGAAGUUCAAAUCCGCCAGGCUGCUCCUUGGAAACUCUGUCGGGCAAUUCUACCCUGUCCUAUAGUGUCCCUAUGAGUUGGGGUUUGGAUCUAUCUAUCUAUCUAAGCUCAGGUAUGCAGAUGUCACCUGGCCCUUUUUGCAAAAUGCUGUUGGAAUUAAGACUUGGGGGAACCGAUGAAAGAAAAUGCUGAUCUUCUGUCUACUGCUAUUGCUGUCUCUUUCUAGUGCUGUGCUGGAGGUGCUCACUCGUCUAGUGACCAGUGGAAGACUGUUUCCUGGCCAAAUAACUGGAAGAGAUCCAUAUUUAUGCCUAUUCCCAAGAAACGUGAUCCAACCCAAAGUGGAAAUUAUAGAACAAUAUCAUUAACAUCACAGCAAGCAACAUUUUGCCGAAGAUCAUUUAAAAACGGCUGCAGCAGUAUAUCGACAGGGAAGUACCAGAAAUCAUGGCUGGUUUCAAAAGAGGAUGUGGAACCAGGGAUAUCAUUGCUGAUGUCAGAUGGAUCCUGGCUGCAAACAGACAAUACCAGAACAGUAUUUACCUGUGUUUUUUAUUGACUAUGCAAAGGCAUUUGACUGUGUGGAUCAUAACAAACUAUGGAUAACAUUGCAAAGAAUGGGAAUUCCAGAACACUUAAUUGUGCUCAUGAGGAACAUUUACAUAGAUCAAGAGGCAGUUGUUUGGGCAGAACAAGGGGAUACUGAGUGGUUUAAAGUCAGGAAAGGUGUGCAUCAGAGUUGUAUUCUUUCACCAUACCUAUUCACUCUGUAUGCUGAGCAAAUAACCCGAGAAGCUGGAGUAUAUGGAGAAGAACGGGGCAUCAGGAUUGGUGGAAGACUCAUUAACAACCUGUGUUAUGCAGAUAAUACAACCUUGCUUGCUGAAAGUGAAGAGGACUUGAGGCACUUACUAAUGAAGAUCAAACACCACAGCCUUCGGUAUGGAUCGCGCCUCAAAAUAAAAAAAACAAAAAUCCUCACAACUGGACCAAUGAGCAACAUCAUGAUAAAAGGAGAAAAUAUUGAAGUUGUCAAGGGUUUCCUUUUACUUAGAUCCACAAUCAAUAGCCAUGGAAGCAGCAGUCAAGAAAUCAAACAAUGCAUUGCAUUGGGCAAAUCUGCUCCAAAGGACCUCUUUAAAGUGUUGAAAAGCAAAGAUGUCAACUUGAAGACUAAGGUGCACCUGACCCAAGCCUUGGUAUUUUCAAUCGCAUCAAUAUGCAUGUGAAAGCUGGACAAUGAAUAAGGAAGACCGAAGAAGAAUCGACGUCUUUGAAUUAUGCUGUUGGUGAAGAAUAUUGAAUAUACCAUGGACUGCCAAAAGAACGAAGAGAUCUGUCUUGGAAGAAGUCCAACCAGAAUGCUUCGUAGAAGCGAGGAUGGUGAGGCUGCGUCUUACAUCUUUGGACUUGUUGUCAGGAGGAUUCAGUCCCUGGAGAAGGACAUCAUUGUUGGCAAAGUACAGGGUCAGUAGAAAAGAGGAAGACCCUCAAUGAGGUGGACUGACACAGUGGCUGCAACAAUGAGCUCAAGCAAAACAACCAUUAGAAGGAUGGUGCAGGACCAGACAGCAUUUUGUUUUGCUGUUCACAGGGUCGCUAUGUGUCGGAACCAACGGGACAGCACCUAACAACAACAACCACCACCGUGAUGCUGGCUGUCUGUGCCAGGACCACCGACAAUGAGGGUGGUUGAGUCAGCUCAUAGGAGUCCAUGGAACCUGGAAGAGAAGAGAGGAAAAGACAGCCUGAGGUCAUGGGGUUCAUUCCCAGGCGGUCCCCCUGAGACCACGACUGGACUGAGCUCAGGGUUCAGUGAAGGCCUAUCUCAGAGUCCUGGAGGCCUGAGCCUAAGGGCAGUGCCUGGGAGACAGUACCUGUGCAGAGAGUGAGGGGAGGGGGAACAGGGGAGGGUCCAAGCCAUGGGUGUUACACCCAGAGCUCUGCCUCUUGAGCCUGCAACCCAGCUGGUUUUGCAGGACCAUUUAUUCCCUUCUUAGGCUCUUUGGGGCAGAGAUUGUUUACUCUUUGGCAAAUUUUCUCCUCCUCUGUGGAUCCUUAUUGAGAGGCCCUAAAAACAGCUCUGAUGGGCAGGGCAGAGAGGAAGAGGUGAAGAUUCCAACAAUUUAUUUUGAGUUGCUUUCAGUUGGAAAAAUCAGCCUUGGCUGCAAAGUCUGGGAUCAUGGUCACCUCCCUGGGGUUUGGCCACAUGACCGCUGUCCUAAACUCCUCUGUCCAAGCCUAGCUCAGAGGGGUUUUUGGCCUCCAGGAGCCUGGUCAUUGGGUUGACCUGGGAGAAGAGAGGGGCCUCUGCUUCACUGCAUAUCCUGAGCUCCACCAUCUCCCCCUCUGCUAAUGUAAGGAAACCCUUCACACACUCAGGGCCUGCAUGUCUUCAUCCUAUGACAGUCAUGGUUCCCUCAGCUUUCAUUCUGUCCUCUAUCCCCUCUCUGCUCUGCCUGGAGUCAACCCAGAGAGGGUCUGCUCUUCCUGUGGGGUAGUCCAGUAGGGGGUCUGCUGGCAGAUCACAAUGUUCUCCAGAAAUCCUUUUGAAGUCAGGGCUUUUUCACUUUUUCCUUUCAACUAAAUUGAGAAAGUACUUAAUAGAGUUGUCUGCUGAUAUAUCAUUGAAACCAAUUUUUUAAAAAAAAUUUUUCAUUGUACUUUAAGUGAAAGCUUACAAAUUAAGUCAGUCUCACACGAAAACUUAUAUACAUCUUGCUACAUACUCCCAUUUGCUCUCCCCGUAAUGAGACAGCCUGCUCCCUCCCUCCACUCUCUCUUUUUGUGUUCAUUUCACCAGCUUCUAACCCCUUCUACCUUCUCAUCUCCCCUCCGGGCAGGAGAUGCCAACAUAGUCUCAAGUGUCCACCUAAUUCAAGAAGUUCACUCCUCACCAGCAUCCCGCUCCAACCCAUUGUCCAGCCCAAACCCUUUCUGAAGAGUUGAUGUUGGGAAUGGUUUCUGUCCUGGGCCAACAUAAGGUCUGGGGCCUGUGACCCAGACCAGGGGCCUCCCAUUUGCUUCCUCUCAGGCCCUUCCCUCUACCAAACCCUAGCCUUCCCAGGAGGCUAGGUCCUGAGACACCAUCAGAAACUCAGAGCCUCCAGCUGUAGCUUAGGCACAGGCAUCACAUCACACACCUCUGAGGACAUCAGCCCCACACAGCCAGGUUGGUCCAGUGAACUGUCCUGAGCCCCAGGGUCCCUCUCAGAUGUCCCUAGGCUGCCAGCAGGACCUCCAAGGGGGCCCAGCUUCACACAAGCCUUAGAAGAGGACCUCUGAAAUUAUUCUUGGAUGUUUUCUCCUGGCCACACUUUUGUCUCUAACUGCCCAUUCCCAUUACCUGAAUAAAGUUUGUUUUAACCUAGUUGGUAUGGAACCCUGGCUCUGCUGUUUAUAACUGGAAUGUGAUCAUUGAGUGAGUCAAAGGAAAACUGUGUGAAAUUUUAACAUGGAGAAAAGAGUUUUAUUCAUUAAUUUAUUCAUUCAUUCAUUUGGAGGCAGUCCAUUUUUCAGAUGACCUAGUUCAGUAAUUUAUAAAACAGGCAUUAUUUAAAGGGAAAAACCAAAAUUUGUGGUUAAUUUGUUCAUUAUUCCUCAUGGAACAAGCCAUCCUGCUCCUCAUUAGCCAGCCCACAAAGGUCAUUCUGCCUGCAGGGGCGGUGUUGUCAAAAAUCUAUUUGGGUAUCAGCCUACUCACACCUCCAGAACCAGAGAAGAACGGUGCUCUCUGCAAAAGCUAAGUACUUGAGUAUAUUUUACUGGGCCACCCAUUCCCAAGCUGGCUUCAGCGGCUGACUUCCCUGGGCCUGAGAUAGGCUAUGUUGAAUGCCUAGAGCCACCCUCCUGGCCUUGAAGAAGGAAUAAAUUUGCAUUUAGGGGAAAACAUAAUUUGCCAGCUCCACUAACUGGGGGAGCUCAGGACAGAAGUGGCUCCUGUCUAGGCAUAAACCGUCCGUGGACUUUGAGUAUCUUUCCCCUCUGCAUAGACCUGUCUGGACCUAUUUCAGGAGAACAGGCCCUUGUUGGCAGGCUACAAUCGUUUCAGCUGUGCGGUGGAGAGGUGGGUGUUGAUGUUUGACCUUGCUUUGCCUAUUAAACAGGGUCCUCACCUACCCACCUCAGGAGCCUAAGGACUGGUAGCUCCACUCAGGUCACCCAGCUACCCACGACAGUGGUCCGAGGAUAACUGGUACCUCUCAGUAUUUACAACCAAAAGCAUUGGGUGCCCAUGGUCUUUCUUCAGAACACACCCACCUAUACACUGGAACAGGGACACGCUUUCCUCAGAGACACAUGGGGGAUGAUUCUCAGCCCCCUGCCUUGUUCAGAGUGUGACCCCCUGCUGCAACCGGAUACCAGUACCUACACCAAUCACCCCUGCCCCUUUAAUACUGUAGGAGAGAGCCUGUACCACACACUUGAUGAUCAGCUACCUGGACACCUGCGCUGAAUUCAUACAAGAAAAGUGAAUGAACUCCUAGACCGAUAUACCUGAUAACAGCUCUAGCCAUCUGGUGACAAGACGUCAGAGGUCCAAAGGUGAAAAUAGUCAAUCUAGCUCACUCAGGCAAUCCAUUUGGGCAUAUGAAAUCAAAACAAAGCAAGAAGCUAUGACACAGUAAGCAAACAUAAAACAAACUAAUACAAUAACUUAUAGAUGGCUCAGAGACAACAGUCAAUAUCAAGUCACAUAAAGAAACAGACCAUGAUCACCUCAACAAGCUCUCAAAACAAAGAAUCCAGGGAGCUUCUAGAUGAAAGUGCCUUCCUGGAAUUACCAGAGGCAGAAUACAAAAGAUUAACAUACAGAGCCCUUCAAGACAUCAGGAAAGAAAUGAGGCAAUAUGCACAACAAGCCAAGAAACACACUGAUAAAGCAAUUGAAGAAAUUAAAAAGAUUAUUUAGGAACAUAAUGAAAAAUUGAAUGAGCUGGAAAAAUCCACAGACAGCACUCAGAAGAUUAACAAUAAAAUUGCACAAGUAGAUAACUCAAUAGAAAGUCAGAGAAGCAGAUUUGAGCAAGUGGAAGGCAGAAUUUCUGACCUUGAAGAUAAAGCACUUGGCACUAACAUAUUUGAAGAAAAAUCAGAUAAAGGAUUUGAAAAAAUGAAGAAACUUUAAGAAUCAUGUAGGACUCUAGCAAGAGAAAUAACUUAUGAGUGAUUGGAGUACCAGAACACGGAAGGAUAACAGAAAACACAGAGAGAAUUGUUGAAGAUUUGUCGGCAGAGAACUUCCUUAGUAUUGUGAAAGAGGAGAGGAUAUCUAUCCAAUAUGCUCAUCGAACUCCACAUAAGGUAGAUGUUAAAAGAAAGUCACCAAGACUUACUAUAAUCAAACUUGCCAAAACCAAAGAUAAAGAGAGAGUUUUAAGAGCAGCUAGGGAUAAAUGAAAAGUAACCUACAAAAGAGAGCCAAUAAGAAUAAGCUCGGACUACUCAGCAGAAACCAUGCAGGCAAGAAGGCAAUGGGAUGACUUACUUAAAAAAUUGAAGGAAAAAGACUGCCAGCCAAGAAUCAUAUAUCCAUCAAAGCUGUCUCUUAAAUAAGAAGGUGAAAUUAGGACAUUUCCAGAUAAACAGAAGUUUAGGGAAUUCAUAAAAACCAAAUGAAAACAACAAGAAAUACCAAAGGGAGUUCUUUGGUUAGAAAAUCAAUAAUAUCAGGUAUCAACCCAAGACUAGAACACUGGGCAGAGCAAUCAGAAGUCAACCCAGACAGGGAAAUCAAAAAAAUAAAUCAAGAUUAAAAAAACACUCAAAACAGGGUAACAGCGAUAUUAUUAUGUAAAAGAAGACAAUAUUAAAACAAUAAAGAGGGACUAAGAAAUGUAGUCAUAGAUAUACCAUAUGGAGAGGAAGAUAAGGUGAUACAAAGAAAUAAAAGUUAGUUUUAAAUUUAGAAAAAUAGGGGAAAAUAAUAAGGUAACCACAAAGGAGACAAAAUAUUCUAUACAUCAAAAUAAAAUACAAGAAAAAAAUAGAGACUCAGCAGAAACAAAAUCAACAAUGAAUAUGAGGAAAGGACAAAAUACAAUCUACUCAGCACAUAAAAUUCAGUGGUAAAAAGAAACUGACAACAACACAAAAAAAGACAUCAAAAUUAUAGCACUAAAUUCAUACCUAUCCAUAAUUACACUGAAUGUAAAUGAAUUAAAUGUACCAAUAAAGAGACAGAGAGUGGCAGUAUGGAUUAAAAAACAAGAUACGUCUAUAUGCUGCCUACAAGAGAUACACCUCAGCCUUAGACAUACAAACAAACUAAAACUCAAAGGAUGGAAAAAAGAUACCAAGCAAACAACCAUCAAUAAACAGCAGGAGUGACAAUAUUAAUUUCUGACAAAAUAGACUUUAAAUCCAUCAUAAAGGAUAAGGAAGGAUACUAUAUAAUGAUUAAAGGGACAAUAUACCAAGAAGAUAUAACCAUAUUAAAUAUUUACGCACCCAACGACAGGGCUGCAAGAUACAUAAAACAAACUAUCAGUAUUGAAAAGUGAGAUAGACAGCUCCACCAUAAUAGUAGGAGACUUGAAUACACCACUUUCGGUGUAAGACAGGACAUCCAGAAAGAAGCUCAAUGAAGACAUGGAGGAUCUAAAUGCCACAAUAAGCAAACUUGACCUCAUAGACCUAUAUGGAACACUCUACCCAACAGCAACCAAGUAUACUUUCUUUUCUAGUGCACAUGGAACAUUCUCUAGAAUAGAACACAUAUUAGGUCAUAAAGCAAGCCUUAGCAGAAUCCAAAACAUUGAAAUAUUACAAAGCAUCUUCUCUGAUCAUAAGGCCAUAAAAGUGGAAAUCAAUAACAGAAAAAGCAAGGAAAAGAAAUCAAACACUUGGAAACUGAACAAUACCCUGCUCAAAAAAGACUGGAUUAUAGAAGACAUUAAAGAUGGAAUAAUGAAAUUCAUAGAAUCCAAUGAGAAUGAAAACACUUCCUAUCAGAACCUAUGGGACACAAUUAAAGCAGUGCUCAGAGGUCAAUUUAUAUCAAUUUAUAUAUUUUUUUUAUAUGCAUACAUCCAAAAGGACGAAAGGGCCAAAAUCAAAGAACUAUCCUUACAACUUGAACAAAUAGAAAGAGAGCGACAAAAGAAACCCACAGGCACCAGAAGAAAACAAAUAAUCAAAAUUAGAGCAGAACUAAAUGAAACAGAAAACAGAAAAACAAUUGAAAGAAUUAAGAAGACCAAAAGCUGGUUCUUUGAAAAAAAUCAAGAAAAUUGAUAAACCAUUGGCCAAACUGACAAAAGAAAAACAGAAGAGGGAGCAAAUAAUCGAAUAAAAAAUGAGAUGGGUGAUAUCACGACAGAACCAACUGAAAUUAAAAGAAUCAUGUCAGAUUACUAUGAAAAUUUGUACUCUAACAAAUUUGAAAGCCCAGAAGAAAUGGCUGAAUUCCUAGAAACAAACUACCUACCUAAACUAACGCAAACAGAGGCAGAACUACUAAAUAGACCCAUAACAAAAGAAGAGAUUGAAAAGGUAAUUAAAAAAACUCGCAACAAAAAAAAAGCCCUGGCUCAGACAACUUCACUGGACAGUUCUACCAAACUUUCAGAGAAGAGUUAACUCCACUACCACUAAAGGUAUUUCAGAGCACAGAAAAGGAUGGAAUACUGCCAAACUCAUUUUAUGAAGCCAGCAGAUUCCUGAUACCAAAGCAGGUAAAGACACCACAAAAAAGAGAAUUAUAGACCUAUAUCCCUCAUGAACUUAGAUGCAAAAAUCCUCAACAAAAUCUAGCCAAUAGAAUUCAACAACACAUCAAAAAAAUAAUUCAUCAUGACCACGUGAGAUUCAUAUCAGGUAUGCAGGGAUGGUUCAACAUUAGAAAACCAAUUAAUGUAAUCCAUCCUAUAAAUAAAACAAAAGACAAGAACCAUGUGAUCUUAUCAAUUGAUGCAGAAAAGGCAUUUGAGAAAGUCCAACACCCAUUCACAAUAAAAGCUCUCAGCAAAAUAGGAAUAGAAGGGAAAUUCCUCAACAUAAUAAAGGGACUUAUACAAAGCCCACAGCCAACAUCAUCCUAAACGGAGAGAAUCUGAAAGCAUUUCCCUUGAGAACGGUAACCAGCAUGGCUUUAUUACCACUCUUAUUGAAAUUUGUGCUGGAUAUCCUAGCCAGAACAAUUAGGCUAGAUAAAGAAAUAAAGGGCACCAGACUGGUAAGGAAUAAGUAAAAGUAUGUCUAUUUGCAGGUGACAUGAUCUUAUACACAGAAAACCCUAAAGAAUCUUCAAGAAACUGCUGAAACUAAUAGAAGAGUUCGGCAGAAUAUCAGGAUACAAGAUAAACAUACAAAAACCAGUUGGUUUCCUCUAUACCAACAAACAGAACAUUGAAGAGGAAAUCACCAAAUCAAUACCAUUACAGUAGCCCCCAAGAUUAUACAAUACUUAGGAAUAAAUCUUACCAAAGACAUAAAAGACCUAUACAAAGAAAACCACAAGACACUACUGCAAGAAACCAAAAGAGACCUAUGUAAGCAGAAAAACAUAACUUCCUCAUGGAUAGGAAGACUUACAUUGUAAAAAUGUCUAUUCUACCAAACGAGAUCUAUAGAUAUAAUGCAAUUCUGAUCCAAAUUCCAAAGACAUUUUUUAAUGACUUGGAGAAACAUAUUACCAACUUCAUAUGGGAGGGAAAGAGGCCCCGGAUAAGUAAAGCAUUACUGAAAUAGAAGAACAAAGUGGCAGGCCUCACACUACCUGAUUUUAGAUCCUAUUAUAACCACCACAGUAGUCAAAACAGCCUGGUACUAGUACAACAAUAGAUACAUAGGCCAGUGGAACAGAAUUGAGAUUCCAGGCAUAAAUCCAUCCACCUAUGAGCAGCUGAUAUUUAACAAAGGCCCAAAGUCAGUUAAAAGGGGGAAAAGACAGUCUCCUUAACAAAUGGUUCUGGCAUAACUGGAUAUCCAUCUGUAAAAAAAUGAAACAAGACCCAUACCUAACACCAUGCACGAAAACGAACUCAAAAUGAAUCAAAGACCUAAAUAUAAAAUCUAAAACGAUAAAGAUCGUGUAAGAAAAAAUGGGGACAACGCUGGGAGCCCUAAUACAUGACAUAAACAGUAUACAAAACAUUACUAACAAUGUACAAACAACAGAAGAGAAACUAGAUAACAGGGAGCUCCUAAAAAUCAAACACCUUUGCUCAUCAAAAGACUUCACCAAAAGAGUAAAAAGAUUACCUAAACAAACAAACAAAAAAUUAUUUAUUUAUUUUUUAAAAGAUUACCUACAGACCGCAAAAAAGAUUUUAGCUGUGACAUUUCCAAUCAGCCUCUGAUCCCUAAAAUCUAGAUGAAACUCAAACACAAAAAGGCAAAUAACCCACUUAAAAAAUGGACAAAGGAUAUGAACAGGCACUUCACUAAAGAAGGUAUUCAGGGAGCUAAUAGAUACAUGAGGAAAUGCUCAAGAUCAUUAGCCAUUAGAGAAAUGCAAAUCAAAAGUACAAUGAGAUUCCAUCUCACUCCAACAAGACUGCCGUUAAUCCAAAAGACACAAAAUGAUAAAUGUUAGAGAGGUUGUGGGGAGACUGGAACACUUACACACUGCUGGUGGAAGUGUAAAAUGGUACAAACACUUUGGAAACCGAUUUCGUGCUUCCUUGAAAAGCUGGAUAUAGAACUACUAUACAAUCCAGCAAUCUUGUUCCUUGGAAUAUAUCCUAAAGAAAUAAGAGCCUUUACACAAACAGAUAUAUGCACACCCAUGUUCAUAGCAGCACUGUUUACAAUAACAAAAAGAUGGAAGCUACCAAAAUGCCUAUUGACGGAUGAAUGGAUAAAGAAAUUGCGGUAUAUUCACACAAUGGAACACUAUGCAUCCAUAAAGAACAAUGUUGAAUCUGUGAAACAUUUCCUAACAUGGAAGAACCUGAAAUGCAUUAUGCUGAGUGAAAUUAGUCAGUUGCAAAAGGACAAAUAUCAUAUGAGACCACUGUUAUAAGGACUCAAGAAACAGUUUAAAUAGUGAAGGAAAUAUUCUUUGAUGGUUAAGAGAGUGGGAAGGAAGGGAGGGAGAGGAGUAUUCACUAAUUAGAUAGUAGACAAGAACUAUUCUAGGUGAAGGGAGAGACCACGCAUAAUACCGGGGAGGUCAGCACAACUGGACUAAACCAAAAGCAAAAAGUUCCCUGAAUAAACUGAAUGCUUACAAGGCUGGGGUAGCAGGGGUAAGGCUUUGGAGACCAUGGUUUCAGGGGACAUCUUAGUCAAUUGGCAUAAAAAGAUCUACUAAGAAAACAGUCUGCAUCCCACUUUGGAGAGUGGCAUCUGGGGUCUUAAAUGCCAGCAAGCUGCCUUCUAAGAUGCAUCAAUUGGUCUCAACCCACCUGGAGCAAAGGAGAAUGCAGAACACCAAAGACACAAGGUAAUGAUGAGCCCAAGAGACAAAAAGGGCCACAUAUAUGAGAGACUACAUCAGCCUGAGACCAGAAGAACUAGAUGGUGCCUGUCUAUGACUGAUGACUGCCCUGAAAGGGAACACAACAGAGAGUCCCUGAAGGAGCAGAAGAGCAGUGUGAUGAAGACCUUAAAUUCUCAAAAAAGCCCAGACUUAAUGGUCUGACUGAGACUAGAAGGACCCCGGAAGUCAUGAUCCCAAGACCUUCUGUUAGCCCCCAAGACCUUCUGUUAGCCCAAGACAAGAACCAUCCCCAAAGGCAGGUCUUCAGACAGAAGUUUGACUGGACUAUAAGACAGACUAUGAUACUGGUGAGGAGUGAGCUUCAUGGAUUAAGUGGACACGUGAGACUAUGUGGGCAACUCCUUUCUGGAGGGGAGAUGGGAAGGCAGAGGGGCACAGAAGCUGGCUGAAUGGACUUGAAAAUAGAGGGUGGAGAGAAGGAGUGUGCUGUCUCAUUAGGGGCAGAGCAACUAGGAGUAUAUAGCAAGGUGUAUAUAAAUUUUUGUAUGAGAAACUGACUUGAUUUGUAAACUUUCACUUAAAGCUCAAUCAAAAUUAAAAAAAAAAAUCUGUCCAGUUGGCUAGGCCAUAUUCCCAGUAUUGUGUCAUUGUCCACCAUUUUAUCAUAUUUUAUCUGAUUUUCUCAUGUGUUGUCAAUCCUACCUCUAUGAUGUUAAUGAGGCAGGACUCAAUCUACAAGAUUGUGGUUUGUUUUAAGUCAAUCUCUUUUGAGACAUUAUAAGAGAGACGAGAGCAGAGAGACAGGAGACCUCAUUACCACCAAGCAAGAAGAGCCACCAGCCUGUGCCCUUUUGACCCGGGAUCCCUGUGCUGAGAAGCUCCUAGGCCAGGGGAAGAUUGAUGACAGUGUGGACCUUCUCCUAGAGCCAACAGAGAGAGAAAGCCUUUCCCUGAAGCUGGCACCUUGAAUUCGGACUACCGGCCUCCUAUAUUUCGAGAGAAUACAUUUGUUUGUUAAAGCCAUUUACUUGUGGUAUUUCUGUUAUAGCAGCACUAGAUAACUAAGACAAGCUGAGGCCAAAACCUGAGGAGGAAGGGAGGGAGGCUCUUCGGGUGACAGGAUUGGCUGGUCCUCUCCAGAGAGGGCCAGGCAGGCUUCCAUCCCUUAACAGAACUGCCAAGCCCAGCCCAGGCAGCCAUGAGAACUGAGAAGCCUGUUCCCUCCAUCUGGAUACUGCCCCAAUACACCUUCCCUGGGGACUUCACGUGGUCCUUUCCAUCAAAGGGGCAAUGAGCUCCUGUAGGGAAAGGCCAUGAACCCAGCAGCCCUCAUUCCUGCUGAAGGGAGGUUUGUGUCUCUACCCCUCCAUGGAUUUAAUACUCUUUUCUUUCAUUGCCACUUUCAGUCUGCAACGGGUGUUCAUUAAUGCUGAGGACUGAGACCACCUGUGUCAACAGGACUUAAUUGUUAGUUUCAGGAUAUUUUUGACCUGGAAGAUAAGCGUGUAAACCAAAAAAUAAUGUCACUCUGUGCUUCAAGAGUAUUCUGAAAACCGAUUGUUCAGAUAAACCUUUAGCUCAUCUAGACAAACAGCUUACAUAUCAGAUCAAAGUUUACUAUGAAGACUUGCUUCUAGAUCUUCCCCUCUCUGUCCCCAGUCCUGUGCUGUUAUCUCACAGAUGUCGUCCAUUUCUAGAUGUUUCCCCCUUGAAAGACCUGCCUCACACAGCCGCAUGCUGACACUUGCUCCUGUAAACUCCCCCGACCACCUUCUGAGACUCCACUGAGGCCCUGUCAGGGUGAGCUCUCCUUUAGUCCUCACACACUGAGCACUGCUGGAUUUUCAGGUGCUACAACAAAAGUGUUGAGUAGUUGAAACAGAGAGAAUAUGGACAUAAAAACUACAACUUUUACUUUCUGGCCUUUUCUGGAAAAAGUUUGAUGUCCCUAGAUUUUAGGUAAUGAUCCACAGAACUUCCCCAAAUGGACCAGCAUCAGUAACUGAGGACAGAGAUCCUUGGGAAAGAGGACCCCUGACCAUGUGAAGAACUACUAGACACACUGGGGUCUGAGCUGCUCAGAUACUUGGGGAACCACACAUAGCAAUAACCUCACUGUCAGGAUGGGGCACAGGGGUCAGGUAGUGAAUAAAGGCCAGCUUAGUUCACAAUAGUGUCCCCUGCCUGGUGGUCAUUUCUCCCCUCUGAAUGAGUCAUUGGAUGGGCUUUCUUUGGUGAGGUGGCACCAUCCCCACGUUGGUGUCUUGGCUUCUGGGAAAGAGCAAUUUGAGUUGGAAGGCCACCUGGUGAAUCCUGAAUCUUUCUUCAUCCUCACCUCAUCCAAUAUACUCAUUCAAAAAAGUAUUACAUGUGGGUAUCAGGUGGAGAAUGGCAUAGAUUAACACCACCUUUGAAGACCUAAAGGACACAAGGUUGAGUUUGAUGUUAUGUUUCUAUCGAGUUAAUAGGUCUGCCCUUAUUAGAGUUGAGUGGAUCCUGAAAGUGAAAGUGGAUUCCUGCGGAUCCAAUCACAUACUUGUCCCUUUUGCAGUUUCUGUCUCAGAUGUGGUGUCUUUGCAGAGGUCACCAUGGAAACAGGUCCACAUUGUGCGGCCAUCGGUGAGGACGCUGCGUCCUUUCCUCACAAAUCAGAGCCAGAACAGAGAGACUGUGGUCAUGAGGAGUGGACAGGAGCAUCAGCUUCUGCAUAUGCAAGGCUGUGUCCUGCUCUGUGUGACCUUGGGGAUGGGGAGGGUAAGCCAGGCUGGGUGGGCAGAUUUCUGUCUUACUUCCCCAUCUGCCUGUGUCACUGUGAGCAGCACUGCUACUGCUGUCCCCAGACUGACAGUAAUAGUCGGCCUCAUCCUCUGCCUGGACCCUGCUAAUGGUCAGGGUGGCCGUGUUCCCUGAGUUGGAGCCGGAGAACCGAUCAGGGGUCCCUGAGGGUCGGCUGUUACUGUUACAGAUGGCCAGCACAGGGGCCUGUCCUGGCUUCUGCUGGUACCAGUGAAUGUAGUAGCUCCCGAUGUUAUCCCUAGAGCAGGUGAUGCUGGCUGUCUGUCCCUGGGCCACAGACACUGAGGGUGGUUGAGUCAGCUCAGAGGAGGUCACAGAGCCUGGAAGAGAGGAGAGUGGGGUUUGAGGCCAUGAGGUUAAUUUCCAGGUGGUCCCCCUUGAGGCCAUGACUGAGCUCAGCUCGGGGUUCAUGGCAGGCCCAGCUCAGUGUUCUGGGUUGUCAGCCCAAGAGCAUAGCCUGGAAGGCAGCACCUGUGCAGAGAGUGAGGAGGGGGAGCAGGAGAAGCAUCCAGGCCAUUGUGGAAACACCUGAGCUCUAUCCCCUAGCCAACAGCUCAGCAGGGUCCCCAGGACCCUCUUAUUCCCUUCUGAGGCCCUAUGGGGCAGAGAUUGUUUGGUCUUUAUGCAAAUUUUCUCUUUCUUUGGGGAUCCUAAUUGAAAGGCCCUCAAACCAGCUGUAAGGGGCAGGCCAGAGAGGAAGGGUUAAAGUUGCCAGCAGUUUCCUUCCAGUUGCUCUCAGGUGGAAAAAUCAGCAUUGGCUGCAAGGUCUGUGAUCACAGUCACCUCCCUGGGGUUUGACCACAUAACCACUGUCUCAAACCCCUCUGUCCAGGUCUGGUUCAUAGGGGCUGCCAAACUCCUGAAGCCUGGUCAUGGGGCUGAGCUGGGCCCCAUUGGGAGACAAUGGAUAGCAUCUGAUGCACCAGGAGGUGGUCCUGUAGUCCCAUUACCUUCCUCUUCCUCCUUCAUCUCUUUUCUGGGUCUUCCAAGGCUCACUGUGUCCCCCCAUUUUAUUAAGACUUGUUUCUAUGUCGCUAGGAAUUUGUGAAAUAUUUCAGACACCGUAGUUUGCUUGUUUAAUCAACAACCUGCUCUUGUAAAUUCACGACAGCUUCUAGUCUCAUUUCACAUGUGGUUUUAGUAUCCCUUCUAUGAUGCCCUUUCUCAAUGGAUUAUCGGUUCACGUUGACCAAACGUUCAUUCUUUCUCCUCUUUUCAAAUUCAUGGUGUAUGUGAUCUUGUAAAAAGCUUCAAAAACCACCCUGACUGACACACCCAUUCUGGGCAUCCUGGGUUCUCCUGUUGGU